GAUGAACGCUGGCGGCGUGCUUAACGCAUGCAAGUCGAACGGGAAACCUUUUAUUGAAGCUUCGGCAGAUUUAGAUUGUUUCUAGUGGCGGACGGGUGAGUAACGCGUGGGUAACCUGCCUUAUACAGGGGGAUAACAGUCAGAAAUGACUGCUAAUACCGCAUAAGCGCACAGAGCUGCAUGGCUCAGUGUGAAAAACUCCGGUGGUAUAAGAUGGACCCGCGUUGGAUUAGCUAGUUGGUGAGGUAACGGCCCACCAAGGCGACGAUCCAUAGCCGGCCUGAGAGGGUGAACGGCCACAUUGGGACUGAGACACGGCCCAGACUCCUACGGGAGGCAGCAGUGGGGAAUAUUGCACAAUGGGGGAAACCCUGAUGCAGCGACGCCGCGUGAAGGAAGAAGUAUCUCGGUAUGUAAACUUCUAUCAGCAGGGAAGAAAAUGACGGUACCUGACUAAGAAGCCCCGGCU
rnacentral:rRNA from 1 species